UUUUGACUCCGCCUUCCCAUUUCUGUGAUUACAGAUGUGACUCAAUGUGAUUGGCCUAUUUUUUUAUACAGUAAAUUUAUUUAUAGUAAGACAUACUCAGGAUUGGGUGAGGUGAGACUUUUCUUAGUAGUGCAGGAGAGAAGAGGAGCAGCAGUAGUGACCAGUAAAGUUUUUGUGACAUUUAGUACUGUGAGCAUCCUCACUGGAGAUUGCACAGAGCCUUCUUUUCUAGGUCUUUCCAAUUUUAGCAAAAUAAUUUCUAGAGCCCUCUUACUGUACCGUGCGUGUGUGAGAAUAUCCUAUAUCACAGUGGUACCUUUUGUUUUAGAAACAGCUUUUUAUUGUUUGCCUUCAUCUUUCAUUUUUUUCAAAACAACUUGGAACCCUAUACAACUAUGUAAUAAUCCAAGCAUUACUUAAUUAGAAGGCCAAGGAGGGAAGAUGACAAGUUGCAGGCUAGUUGUAUAGGCUAAAUACAUAGAGACCUAUCUGGAAAAAGCAAAACCACAAAAGUCUCGUGGGUGUUAGGGAUACAAUUCAGUCAGUAGAGUGCUUGCCUAGCAUGCCUGAAGCUUUAGGUUCCGUCUCUAGCACUGUAUAAGCCAGGCAUAGGUAUGCAUAGCUGUAAUCUCAGCCCUAGGGAAGUAGAGGCAGGAGAAUCAAAUAUUCAAGGUCAUCCUUGGAUGUAUAGCAAGUCUUAAGACCAGCCUGUGCUAAUGAGAUCUUGCCUGAGAGAUCAUACUGUGAUUUUUUUUCCACCAGUAAAAUUACAGCCACUCAGCUGCAUGCUGUUCUAAACCUGUGGAAGAAUAUUGUUCUUUUAAAGAAAACAGGCUGGAAAUGGUCACACAAACCUUUAAUCCCAGCACUCAGGAGGCAGAGGCAGGUGGAUCUCUGUGGGCUCUAGGCUGGCCUGUUCUAUAGAGCAAGUGUCAGGACAGCCAGAGCUACAGCGAACCAACCCUAUCUCAAAAAACAAGAGAGAG
rnacentral:lncRNA from 1 species